GAUGAACGCUGGCGACGUGCCUAAUACAUGCAAGUCGUACGGAAAGGCCCUUCGGGGUACUCGAGUGGCGGACGGCUGAGUAACGCGUGGGAACGUGCCCCAAAGUGAGGGAUAACGCACCGAAAGGUGUGCUAAUACCGCAUAUGGUCUUCGGAUUAAAGCUUCGGCGCUUUGGGAGCGGCCCGCGUACGAUUAGAUAGUUGGUGAGGUAAUGGCCCACCAAGUCGACGAUCGUUAGCUGGUCUGAGAGGAUGAUCAGCCAGACUGGGACUGAGACACGGCCCAGACUCCUACGGGAGGCAGCAGUAAGGAAUCUUCCACAAUGGGGGCAACCCUGAUGGAGCAACGCCGCGUGCAGGAUGAAGGUUUUCGGAUCGUAAACUGCUUUUAUAAGUGAAGAAUAUGACGGUAACUUAUGAAUAAGGAUCGGCUAACUACGUGCCAGCCGCCGCAGUAA
rnacentral:rRNA from 1 species